CGGGAGGCAGCAGCAGGGAAUAUUGUGCAAUGAACGAAAGUUUGACACAGCGACACCGCGUGUGGGAUGACGGAUCUAGGUUUGUAAACCACUUUCAGGAGGGAAGAAAAUGACGGUACCUCCACAAGAAGCCCCGGCCAACUACGUGCCAGCAGCCGCGGUAAUACGUAGGGGGCGAGCGUUGUCCGGAUUUAUUGGGCGUAAAGAGCUCGUAGGCGGUUCAACAAGUCGGUCGUGAAAGUUCAGGGCUCAACCCUGAAAUGUCGAUCGAUACUGUUGUGACUAGGAUACGGUAGAGGUGAGUGGAAUUCCGAGUGUAGCGGUGAAAUGCGUAGAUAUUCGGAGGAACACCAAUUGCGAAGGCAGCUCACUGGGCCGCUAUCGACGCUGAGGAGCGAAAGCUAGGGGAGCAAACAGGAUUAGAUACCCUGGUAGUCCUAGCUGUAAACGAUGGAUACUAGACGUAGGAACUGGAUUGACGGUUUCUGUGUCGCAGCUAACGCGUUAAGUAUCCCGCCUGGGGAGUACGGUCGCAAGACUAAAACUCAAAGGAAUUG
rnacentral:rRNA from 1 species